AUGACGAACUCCAACGAGUGUUCUGAGAUGAAGAUGUGUAGCAGAUUGAUGCGUAGAAAGGUGUUGAAGAUGCGCCGCCUCCUUGUGUUGCAGAGAAAGAUUGAUGCUGUUGUGAUUGAAGAAUAUUGGAUAUCCGAGCAAGUCUUACACUGGCUCUUAUUUAUGGACAUCUUUAAUAUUGGACAUGUUAUGUACAAGUAUGAAACACAUUUUUAG